CCAUGUCCAAAACUUGUCAAAACUUCCUAAAGAACUGAAGCCUAGCAUUGUUUUUUUACCACCAUUUCAUCAUUUUGAAACCCUGCCACAAGCCACAAGACAGCAGACUAAACACUUGUCCUCUUAUUUCUCUCAAGCCUCAAUCCUUGCAUUUACAAAAUCAGUCCAAACUUCCAAUGAACCUAAACCUGGCCAUUGCUUUUCCACCCUUCAAGCACCAU
rnacentral:lncRNA from 1 species